AUCGAACGCUGUCGGCAGGCCUAACACAUGCAAGUCGAACGUGUGGCAUACGGGCGAGUUAUGUCAGGGAAAUUCCCUGAUGGUGGGGGAUAACUUUUGGAAACGGUAGCUAAUACCGCAUUCUAUCGGAUGUGCCCUCAGGGGAUUAGCUAUUUGGUGGGGUAAAGGACUACCAAGGCGACGAUCCGUAGCUGGUCUGAGAGGAUGAUCGGACACACUGGGACUGAGACACGGUCCAGACGCCUACGGGAGGCAGCAGUGGGGAAGAUUGGACAAUGGGCGAAGGCCUGAUCGAGCCAUGCCGCGUGUGUGAAGAAGGUCUUCGGAUUGUAAAGCACUUUAAGUGGGGAGGCGGUACCAACAGAAUAAGCACCGGCUAACUCCGUGCCAGCAGCCGCGGUAAUUC
rnacentral:rRNA from 1 species